rnacentral:rRNA from 1 species
GACGAACGCUGGCGGCGUGCCUAAUACAUGCAAGUUGAGCGAUGAAGAUUGGUGCUUGCACCAAUUUGAAGAGCAGCGAACGGGUGAGUAACGCGUGGGGAAUCUGCCUUUGAGCGGGGGACAGCAUUUGGAAACGAAUGCUAAUACCGCAUAACAACUUUAAACAUAAGUUUUAAGUUUGAAAGAUGCAAUUGCAUCACUCAAAGAUGAUCCCGCGUUGUAUUAGCUAGUUGGUGAGGUAAAGGCUCACCAAGGCGAUGAUACAUAGCCGACCUGAGAGGGUGAUCGGCCACAUUGGGACUGAGACACGGCCCAAACUCCUACGGGAGGCAGCAGUAGGGAAUCUUCGGCAAUGGACGAAAGUCUGACCGAGCAACGCCGCGUGAGUGAAGAAGGUUUUCGGAUCGUAAAACUCUGUUGGUAGAGAAGAACGUUGGUGAGAGUGGAAAGCUCAUCAAGUGACGGUAACUACCCAGAAAGGGACGGCUAACUACGUG